rnacentral:Y_RNA from 1 species
GGCUGGUCCGAUGGCAGUGGGUUAUCAGAACUUAUUAACUUUAGUGUCACUAAAGUUGGUAUACCACCCCCCCACUGCUAAAUUUGACUGGUUUAAA